rnacentral:rRNA from 1 species
AGUGAACGCUGGCGGUAGGCCUAACACAUGCAAGUCGAACGGCAGCACAGUAAGAGCUUGCUCUUACGGGUGGCGAGUGGCGGACGGGUGAGGAAUACAUCGGAAUCUACUUUUUCGUGGGGGAUAACGUAGGGAAACUUACGCUAAUACCGCAUACGACCUACGGGUGAAAGCAGGGGAUCUUCGGACCUUGCGCGAUUGAAUGAGCCGAUGUCGGAUUAGCUAGUUGGCGGGGGAAAGGCCCACCAAGGCGACGAUCCGUAGCUGGUCUGAGAGGAUGAUCAGCCACCCUGGAACUGAGACCCGGUCCAGACUCCUACGGGAGGCAGCAGUGGGGAAUAUUGGACAAUGGGCGCAAGCCUGAUCCAGCCAUACCGCGUGGGUGAAGAAGGCCUUCGGGUUGUAAAGCCCUUUUGUUGGGAAAGAAAAGCAGCAGGUUAAUACCCCGCUGUUCUGACGGUACCCAAAGAAUAAGCACCGGCUAACUUCGUG